rnacentral:lncRNA from 1 species
CUAAUCCUCGUGCGGUGGGGACGGUGGGAGGGGAAGUGGAGGCAACCCAGCGAGCUCUCGUAGAUCAAAGAGCGUCUGGACGAUCCAGUCAAUGCGUGCGCCCUGACGUCUGAGGCGCCGGUCGAAGUCCCGAGCCACCUCACGCGCUGCCGGAGGCAGGUCAGCGUAAACGUGCUGCGGGUACUGUGGCGGCUCAGGAGCUGGCUGAACUGGUGGUACAGGGACCUCCUCGACCCGCUCCUCCUGCGCCGGAUCCUCCUGAGCCUGAGCCUGAGCCUGAGCCUCAGGCUGAGCCUAAGGCUCAUCGAUGCCCAGAGCCUGUAGCUGAGCCCGCCGAGCGGCCCGCUGAACAUCAGGAGGGGCUAACACUCCAGGCCUCGCCUCAAUAACAACCGGGAUGACCUCUGGCAACACCCUCGGCUGCCAAAUCAGCCCGUCAGCACCCCUGAACCUCAGACCGACAACAAAGGUACGGGUGAUCUGCAUAGCGGCUACUGACGCGCGGCCCAACCUCGAUGACGGGACCGGAUCGGACAGCAGCGGAUCAUGCUCUGGCACGAUCCCUAGCGAGGGUGCAAUGGUGGUGAUAAAUGAGCCAGUGUGAAGAAACCCGCGGAGCUGCCGGUGGUAUGCAGUAGAAAAGUACUCUGCCAGGCUGACUGCUAGAUCGCAGGGCUGGCGGCGUAGUAGGCAGUAUAGAAAGAAAAGGUCACUGAGGUUGACCUUCUCCUUGCUGGAACCCCGCGGCACGAUAGUCGACGCG